UACGUAGGGGGCUAGCGUUGUCCGGAAUCAUUGGGCGUAAAGAGCGCGUAGGCGGCCAGAUAAGUCCGGUGUGAAAGUCACAGGCUCAACCUGUGAAUGCCGCUGGAAACUGUCUGGCUAGAGUCCGGGAGGGGCGAGUGGAAUUCCUGGUGUAGCGGUGAAAUGCGCAGAUAUCAGGAGGAACACCAAUGGCGAAGGCAGCUCGCUGGAACGGUACUGACGCUGAGGUGCGAAAGCGUGGGGAGCAAACAGG
rnacentral:rRNA from 1 species